rnacentral:rRNA from 1 species
GAUGAACGCUGGCGGCGUGCCUAAUACAUGCAAGUCGAGCGAACAGACUAGGAGCUUGCUCCUCUGACGUUAGCUGCGGACGGGUGAGUAACACGUUGAUAACCUACCUAUAAGACUGGGAUAACUUCGGGAAACCGGAGCUAUUACCGGAUAAUAUAUUGAACCGCAUGGUUCAAUAGUGAAAGACGGUUUUGCUUUCACUUAUCGAUGGAUCCGCGCCGCAUUAGCUAGUUGGUAAGGUAACGGCUUACCAAGGCAACGAUGCGUAGCCGACCUGAGAGGGUGAUCGGCCACACUGGAACUGAGACAAGGUCCAGACUCAGACGGGAGGCAGCAGUAGGGAAUCAUCAGCAAUGGGAGAAAGCCUGACGGAGAAACGCCGCGUGAGGGAUGAAGGUAUUCGGAUCGUAAAACUCUGUUAUUAGGGAAGAACAAAUGUGUAAGUAACUAUGCACGUCUGGAAGGUACCUAAUCAGAAAGCCACGGCUAACUAAGUG